UUCAGCAUUUGCUAGAGCCUCAGAUGCUUCAGUGUGUCUUCCAGCAUUAAAAGUAUAUAAAUCAAAGUCUUCUGAUGCAGCUUUUGUAGACCAAAGUCUCAAGUUGAUUGUAGUCUUAGUUUUAUAUCCUGGUAUGGGAACAUCAUGUGCAACAGCUUUUAUAUCUUCUCCUCCAAUCCAAUGUUUUUUACCAUCUNACCCAGAUACAACCUAGACAUAUGAACAUCCGUCUAGCUAAGAUUAUCUAAAGUUAGGACGAUGUGCGGGAGUCAUAUCCACCUCUCUUUUAUUUGGUCAAUCUAAUUUUCUAGGAUGAAAAUUUUUAUUGUUGGGGAGAAUGUAAAACCUGAGAAAAAAAAAAAGAAAGAAAGUGUUGGGGUUGCAUAUGUGGCAAUAGACAAGGGGCUGGAAAUUUUCAUAGUAAAAUAACAUAACAUAAAUUUCCUUCUUCCCUGUCUGAAGAACCACUGCAUUUCAUUUCCACGUUUUCUUCCCUCUUGUUCUACACCUUCUCUCCACCUUAAUCCCAAACUGAACCAUUGAUUUGUUGAACAGAAGUUGCAUAAACGACCAGGACUUCAAGAGCAACACUUCCAANCGAUCAAAUUCUGUUUCCUUCAACUGGUGGUUCUAGCAAUUCCUAGUGGUGCAAGAGAGCGGGUAGGGUUAUGUUUCACUGUGCAACUGCAUAGAGUAGCUGAUGAUGUACCCUUGGAACAAGCAUUGGAGAAUAAAGAAGACACAUCCCUCACUACUUAGAUCUUCUACUAGUUCUUAUUUUUAGAUAACUCUUUUAUUUUGAGAGACUUAUGUAUUUUGAUACGCUCUUAGUCAUAAACUGUAAAACUUUAAAUUCCCAGCCAUAUGUUUGGAUCACUCUAUGCUUAAUANUGUUAUCUCAUAUUCUAACUUC